CGAGGGAUCAUUACUGAGUUUACGCUCUACAACCCUUUGUGAACAUACCUAUAACUGUUGCUUCGGCGGGUAGGGUCUCCGUGACCCUCCCGGCCUCCCGCCCCCGGGCGGGUCGGCGCCCGCCGGAGGAUAACCAAACUCUGAUUUAACGACGUUUCUUCUGAGUGGUACAAGCAAAUAAUCAAAACUUUUAACAACGGAUCUCUUGGUUCUGGCAUCGAUGAAGAACGCAGCGAAAUGCGAUAAGUAAUGUGAAUUGCAGAAUUCAGUGAAUCAUCGAAUCUUUGAACGCACAUUGCGCCCGCCAGCAUUCUGGCGGGCAUGCCUGUUCGAGCGUCAUUUCAACCCUCAAGCUCUGCUUGGUGUUGGGGCCCUACAGCUGAUGUAGGCCCUCAAAGGUAGUGGCGGACCCUCCCGGAGCCUCCUUUGCGUAGUAACUUUACGUCUCGCACUGGGAUCCGGAGGGACUCUUGCCGUAAAACCCCCAAUUUUCCAAAGGUUGACCUCGGAUCAGGUAGGAA
rnacentral:rRNA from 1 species